AGAAAGCAACCGCGAUUCCCUCAGUAGCGGCGAGCGAACGGGGAACAGCCUAAACCGGUUGGAUGUAAGCGUGCAGGCGUUGUUCAAUGGGUGUCGUGGGAGUGAGCUUGGUUCCGCUGCAUCGGAAUCCGAAAGUUACAAAUCGGCUCGUUAGUCGAACGUUCUGGAAAGUACGGCCAUAGAGGGUAACAGCCCCGUAGACGAAAANNNNNNCGUUGGCGACCGAUAGUGAACCAGUACCGUGAGGGAAAGGUGAAAAGAACCCCUGCGAGGGGAGUGAAAUAGUACCUGAAACCGUGUGUCUACAAGCAGUCGAAGGGCUAUGGUUCGUCCAGCGCGACGGCGUGCCUUUUGCAUAAUGAGCCGGCUAGUUACUCUAUGCAGCAAGGUUAAGCGAUAAGCCAGCCGAAGCGAAAGCGAGUCUUAAUAGGGCGUUCAGUUGCAUGGAGUAGACGCGAAGCCGAGUGAUCUACCCUUGGCCAGGGUGAAGCGUGGGUAACACCACGUGGAGGCCCGAACCAGUGUCGGUUGAAAACGGCUUGGAUGAGCUGAGGGUAGGGGUGAAAGGCUAAUCAAACUCGGUGAUAGCUCGUUCUCCCCGAAAUAGCUUUAGGGCUAGCCUUGCGUGUUCGUUUGCGGUGGUAGAGAACUGAAUGGACUAGGGGCCUUACCAGGUUACUGAAUCCAACCAAACUCCGAAUGCCGUAAACCAAGAGCGCGGGAGUCAGACUGUGGGGGAUAAGCUCCAUGGUCGAGAGGGAAACAACCCAGACCGCCAGCUAAGGUCCCGAAGUACAUGCUAAGUGGGAAAGGAUGUGGGGACGCUGAGACAGCCAGGAGGUUGGCUUAGAAGCAGCCAUCCUUUAAAGAAUGCGUAAUAGCUCACUGGUCAAGUGUCUCUGCGCCGAUAAUUCAACGGGGCUCAAGCAUGUCACCGAAGCUGCGGAUCUCGUCGAUCUUCGGAUCAGCGCGGUGGUAGGGGAGCAUUCCCUGUGGGCCGAAGCCGGACCGUAAGGACCGGUGGACCGCAGGGAAGAGACUCUGCCGGCAUAAGUAGCGAUAAAACGGGUGAGAAACCCGUUCGCCGAAAGUCUAAGGUUUCCUGAGCAAGGUUAAUCCGCUCAGGGUUAGUCGGUCCCUAAGCCGAGGCCGAAAGGCGUAGGCGAUGGACAGCAGGUCAACAUUCCUGCACCACCUCAAGAGCGUUUGUACGAUGGGGUGACGCAGAAGGAUAGGCAUACGGGGUGAUGGAUGUCCCCGGCCGCAAUCGUAGGAGGGCUCUCCAGGCAAAUCCGGAGGGCCAUAUCUCUGAGGAAAGCGGGGAAGCGCGGCUUCGGCCAAACCAACUUGUUGAUUCCACACUGCCAAGAAAAACCUCUAGGGAGUUCGUGAGGUGACCGUACCGCAAACCGACACAGGUAGACAGGGAGAGAAUCCCAAGGCGCGUGAGAGAACGCUCGUUAAGGAACUCGGCAAAUUAGCCCCGUAACUUCGGGAGAAGGGGUGCCCUAAGGGUUAGAAGAUUCGCUCUUCGAAGCCCCCGUGGGUUGCAGCGAACAGGUCCAGGCG
rnacentral:rRNA from 2 species